rnacentral:rRNA from 1 species
AUGUACAAUGUCGCACGGCAGGCAUACGACCGGUUCUUUUCUGUGUGCGGCAGCCCAAACAAAGCCCAGAAUGCGGUGGCGCUGCUGGUGUGGUUAGACCAGGGCACCAUCUCCUCCAUACACCACGUCCCAGCCAUGGCGCCCGACGCUGUAGUUGUCGUCGCAGAAGAGGCCAACGCCGUCCUCGAGUGCCUCCACCACCAAAAACCUGUUCUCCCGCCCAUCCCGAUCAUCUCUGCGCUCUGCAUGCAAGGUGGUGUCCACAUCGAGUUGGGCUUCUUCGCCUUCCACAAGGACCUCAUUGUCCGCGGGGUCGCCCACUUCCUCGACGGUGCCGGAAAGUUCGUAUUUGAUGAUCGCCUGCACGCCCUGCUCCGGAGGUCCGAGACUAGGCUGAUUCUCAACCCGCCGGAGCUCAUGGCGCCCUACACCUCCCAACCAGUGGCCGUUCCGUAGGGCUGCCGCUCCAUGUUCAUCACCUUCUCCAAGGGAAAUGCCAUCCACCGCAAGGAGAUCUUUGAGUACUUCAAGCAGUAA